rnacentral:rRNA from 1 species
UACAGAGGUCCCAAGCGUUGUUCGGAUUCACUGGGCGUAAAGGGUGCGUAGGUGGCCAGGUAAGUUUGGUGUGAAAGCUCGGAGCUUAACUCCGAAAAGUCAUUGAAUACUAUCUGGCUGGAGGGUCGGAGGGGAGACUGGAAUUCUCGGUGUAGCAGUGAAAUGCGUAGAUAUCGAGAGGAACACCAGUGGCGAAGGCGAGUCUCUGGACGACUUCCUGACAGCUGAGGCACGAAAAGCUAGGG